UUUCCGUAGGUGAACCUGCGGAAGGAUCAUUAGUGAACGCCCUCACGGGCUUAUAACUAUUCCAAACCUCUGUGAACCGUGCCCUUCGGGGUUAUUUUACAAACAUGGUGUAAUGAACGUCAUAUAUCAUAACAAAACAAGACUUUCAACAACGGAUCUCUUGGCUCUCGCAUGAUGAAGAACGCAGC
rnacentral:misc_RNA from 1 species